rnacentral:rRNA from 1 species
UGCCAGACUCCUACGGGAGGCAGCAGUGGGGAAUAUUGCACAAUGGGGGGAACCCUGAUGCAGCGACGCCGCGUGAGUGAAGAAGUAUUUCGGUAUGUAAAGCUCUAUCAGCAGGGAAGAAAAUGACGGUACCUGACUAAGAAGCCCCGGCUAACUACGUGCCAGCAGCCGCGGCAAUACGUAGGGGGCAAGCGUUAUCCGGAUUUACUGGGUGUAAAGGGAGCGUAGACGGCAGAGCAAGUCUGAAGUGAAAGCCCGGGGCCCAACCCCGGGACUGCUCUGGGAACUGUGCGGCUGGAGUGCGGGAGGGGCAGGCGGAAUUCCUGGUGUAGCGGUGAAAUGCGUAGAUAUCAGGAGGAACACCGGCGGCGAAGGCGGCCUGCUGGACCGCGACUGACGUUGAGGCUCGAAAGCGUGGGGAGCAAACAGGAUUAGAUACCCCCGUA